UCCCUACGGGGCGCAGCAGUGGGGAAUAUUGCACAAUGGGGGGAACCCUGAUGCAGCGACGCCGCGUGAAGGAAGAAGUAUCUCGGUAUGUAAACUUCUAUCAGCAGGGAAGAAAGAGGACGGUACCUGACUAAGAAGCCCCGGCUAACUACGUGCCAGCAGCCGCGGUAAUACGUAGGGGGCAAGCGUUAUCCGGAUUCACUGGGCGUAAAGGGAGCGCAGGCGGCACGGCAAGUCUGAUGUGAAAACCCGGGGCUCAACCCCGGGACUGCAUUGGAAACUGCCGGGCUGGAGUGUCGGAGGGG
rnacentral:rRNA from 1 species